GCCAUUAUGGUUUAGGGGUAAGAGUGACUUACUGGGAACUGAGAGACCCGGGUUCAAAUCUCCGCUUAGCCCUGAAGCU